AUUGAACGCUGGCGGCAGGCCUAAUACAUGCAAGUCGAACGAGGGGCGGACGGGUGAGUAAUGUAUGGGAAACUGCCCAAUGGAGGGGGCUAAAUACUGGAAACGGUAGCUAAUACCGCAUACCAUUGUAUGUGCCCAGAUGGGAUUAGCUAGUAGGUGGGGUAACGGCUCACCAAGGCGACGAUGCCUAGCAGGUCUGAGAGGAUGACCAGCCACACUGGGACUGAGACACGGUCCAGACUCCUACGGUAGGCAGCAGUGGGGAAUAUUGCGCAAUGGGCGCAAGCCUGAUGCAGCAAUGCCGCGUGUGUGAAGAAGGCCUUCGGGUUGUAAAGUACUUUCGGCAGGGAGGCGUUACCCGCAGAGAAAGCACCGGCUAACUACGUGCCAGCAGCCGCGGUAAUUC
rnacentral:rRNA from 1 species